rnacentral:tRNA from 1 species
GCCUGGGUGGCUCAGUCGGUUAAGCAUCUGACUUCAGCUCAGGUCAGGUCGUGAUGUCACAGUUUGUGAGUUUGAGUCCCACGUCAGGCU